rnacentral:rRNA from 1 species
GCCAACAGCCAUAUCACCCUUCAGCCUGAGACCGAUUAUUUUGAAGCUAAGCAGGGCUGAGCCUGGUCAGAGCCUGGAUGGGAGACCACAUGGGAAAGCUAGGUUGCUGUUGGAA